rnacentral:lncRNA from 1 species
UCCCCAGCCUGGUGUGAGGAUGUGGCACUCACUGAUCAGGAGACUCUCACCCAAGAUUUGCUGAAUCACUGGCUCUCCCUGAUCCACUCUGCCAGGGAAGGGAGUGCAGGAGUUUUUGUGUGGGAAUUACCAGGGAAAACCCUCUAAGAAGGAUAAAAAUAAUGAUGCUGCUUUUCUCACCCCAGGCCACACUGAGAAACCAGUGAAUGCUGGAGUGGGGCUUGUGGGGUUUUCCAGUUGGAGCUGGAGUUCCAUAAAAACAGCAAAGCCACCAAACUGCCCAUGGGUACCUGUCUGAGCAGCCCCAGGAGCCUCCUCUGGCUGAGCUGGGGAUGGAACAGCUUCCAAUGUCCCAUGGGGAACUCCAGAGCCCAGGGAAAGUGCAAAAAGGCAGGAAUGGACUUCCAGUGGGAUGAGGAGGCUGGAGAAAAUCUCCUUCCAUAUCACACCUUGGUCACAUCACUCAGCCCUGCUGGGAGCUCCAGGAGGUGAGAAAUGUCACCAAUGCAGGUUUGCUGCUGUCCCUCAGAUGUUUUGCCAUCCAGUUUGGGCACUCCAGGAAGAAUUUGCUGCAUCACAAGCUGGAAGCACUGAGGAGUCCAGAGCUGCUUUCCUGAAGACCAAUAUUUUUUAUUGUCUUCUGCCCAAUUAA